GACGAACGCUGGCGGCGUGCCUAAUACAUGCAAGUAGGACGCAGUUGCGAACGGUUGAGUAACGCGUAGGUAACUACCUAUUAGAGGGGGAUAACUAUUGGAAACGAUAGCUAAUCCCGCAUACUAGUAGAUGGACCUGCGUUGUAUUAGCUAGUAGGUAGGGUAAAGGCCUACCUGGGCAACGAUACAUAGCCGAACUGAGAGGGUGAUCGGCCACACUGGGACUGAGAAAGGGCCCAGACUCCUGCGGGAGGCAGAAGUAGGGAAUCGUCGGCAAUGGGGGGAACCCUGACCGAGCAACGCCGCGUGAGUGAAGAAGGUUUUCGGAUCGUAAAGCUCUGUUGUUAAGGAAGUGGAACUUAUCCAGAAAGGGACGGGUAACUACGUGCCAGCAGCCGCGGUAAUUC
rnacentral:rRNA from 1 species